CGGGGGCUGGAAGAGGCGGGCGUCUCGAUCUUCAACACCGGGAUCGGGUGGCACGAGGCGCGGGUGCCGACGAUCGUCACGUCGGUGCCGGCC
rnacentral:tRNA from 1 species